rnacentral:rRNA from 1 species
UUAUAAGAGACAGCAGUCGCCACGGUAAUACGUAGGGUGCGAGCGUUAAUCGGAAUUACUGGGCGUAAAGCGGGCGCAGACGGUUACUUAAGCAGGAUGUGAAAUCCCCGGGCUCAACCUGGGAACUGCGUUCUGAACUGGGUGACUAGAGUGUGUCAGAGGGAGGUAGAAUUCCACGUGUAGCAGUGAAAUGCGUAGAGAUGUGGAGGAAUACCGAUGGCGAAGGCAGCCUCCUGGGAUAACACUGACGUUCAUGCCCGAAAGCGUGGGUAGCAAACAGGAUUAGAUACCCGUGUAGUCCCUGUCUCUUAUAC